CCUACGGGUUGCACCAGUGGGGAAUAUUGGACAAUGGGCAAAAGCCUGAUCCAGCAAUGCCGCGUGUGUGAAGAAGGUCCUCGGAUUGUAAAGCACUUUCGACGGGGACGAUGAUGACGGUACCCGUAGAAGAAGCCCCGGCUAACUUCGUGCCAGCAGCCGCGGUAAUACGAAGGGGGCUAGCGUUGCUCGGAAUGACUGGGCGUAAAGGGCGCGUAGGCGGUUUAUGCAGUCAGAUGUGAAAUCCCCGGGCUUAACCUGGGAACUGCAUUUGAGACGCAUAGACUAGAGGUAGAGAGAGGGUUGUGGAAUUCCCAGUGUAGAGGUGAAAUUCGUGGAUAUUGGGAAGAGCACCGGUGGCGAAGGCGGCAACCUGGCUCGAUACUGACGCUGAGGCGCGAAAGCGUGGGGAGCAAGCAGGAUUAGAUACCCGCGUAGUC
rnacentral:rRNA from 1 species